AGAAAGCCCUCUUAAGACUGUCAACAACACUGCUGGCGCAGAGCCAUCCACAGAGGCGCAGUCUGCAAAAUCAAAUGAGAGCGUUGCAUCCGAUUCUUCAACUAAAACGAUGCCCAGUCCCGUGAAGGAACCCUUCACGCCGAUUCUCAAAGUGGUCAUCAAGGACGAGCGCAGUGUCCGGGACAAGUGCGGACUCGCGGCGGACGACUCCCAGCUCCGGUCGCAAGGCGAGCCUGCUCAAGCUUGUGCCACC
rnacentral:lncRNA from 1 species